rnacentral:misc_RNA from 1 species
AAAAUGCGAUAUCUAGUGUGAAUUGCAGAUUUACGUGAAUCAUCGAGUCUCUGAACGCAAAUUGCGCUCCACGGCUAUUCCGUGGAGCAUACCUGUUUGAGUCUCACCCUUUUUUUCUCCUAAGAAAGAUGCGCUUUUUACUGUUUCUUGCAGUUAGCGUUAAAAAUAAUAACAAACAGUGAUUCCUUAGGAAUAACCACACAGUGUGCUCAUACCACCUGAGUAUCUCCUAAAUCCCCACAACAAAAAAAGAGCUCAAAUCAGGCAGGACUACCCGCUGAACUUAA